UACUGGGCCCCCUGUGGAGCCUUUCCCUUCGGGGGGGGCACAGUAGGGAAUCUUCCGCAAUGGACGAAAGUCUGACGGAGCAACGCCGCGUGAGUGAUGAAGGUUUUCGGAUCGUAAAGCUCUGUUGUUAGGGAAGAACAAGUACCGUUCGAAUAGGGCGGUACCUUGACGGUACCUAACCAGAAAGCCACGGCUAACUACGUGCCAGCAGCCGCGGUAAUACGUAGGUGGCAAGCGUUGUCCGGAAUUAUUGGGCGUAAAGGGCUCGCAGGCGGUUUCUUAAGUCUGAUGUGAAAGCCCCCGGCUCAACCGGGGAGGGUCAUUGGAAACUGGGGAACUUGAGUGCAGAAGAGGAGAGUGGAAUUCCACGUGUAGCGGUGAAAUGCGUAGAGAUGUGGAGGAACACCAGUGGCGAAGGCGACUCUCUGGUCUGUAACUGACGCUGAGGAGCGAAAGCGUGGGGAGCGAACAGGAUUAGAUACCCUGGUAGUCCACGCCGUAAACGAUGAGUGCUAAGUGUUAGGGGGUUUCCGCCCCUUAGUGCUGCAGCUAACGCAUUAAGCACUCCGCCUGGGAGUAGGGAACCG
rnacentral:rRNA from 1 species